rnacentral:lncRNA from 1 species
CCAUACAUUUAAUUUUACUUCCCAUAGCCGAAUUUUUCUUUAAUACAGCAAAAGCUGAUACUUUCGAAAUAACAUCAAUACCAAAACAAGCUUAAGAGUAUCCGUUGGCACUCUGAGAACUUGAGAUUUUAUUUCAGUUUAGUUUCAUGAAUGUACUGAAAUUGUAAGAGUUGAGAUUUUAUUAGAGUGGAAUAGAAAAGAAUGAAAUUUCAAUUUCAACAAAUUGCACUUGUUACGUUUCCUCCAUAAGGCCUCCCAAAUGUAUCAUGGGAAACCCCACAAGAAGUCAUAGAAUCACGAGGCUAUUCUGACUGAACCCCUUUUA